AUUGCCUCAGUAACGGCGAGUGAAGCGGCAACAGCUCAAAUUUGAAAUCUGGGGCCUUCGGCUUCCGAGUUGUAAUUUGAAGAGGAUGUUUCGGUUGUGACCUGGGCCUAAGUUCCUUGGAACAGGACGUCAUGGAGGGUGAGAAUCCCGUACAUGGCUGCAGGUUUACUUCCAUGUGAAACUCCUUCGAAGAGUCGAGUUGUUUGGGAAUGCAGCUCUAAAUGGGUGGUAAAUUUCAUCUAAAGCUAAAUAUUGGCGGGAGACCGAUAGCGCACAAGUAGAGUGAUCGAAAGAUGAAAAGCACUUUGAAAAGAGAGUUAAACAGUACGUGAAAUUGUUGAAAGGGAAGCGCUUGCAAUCAGACUCGCCUUCAGUUGAUCAACGUUCCUUCUGGUGCGUGCACUCUGCUGUUGGCGGGCCAGCAUCAGUUGGGGCGGCGGGACAAAGGCGGCAGGAAUGUGGCUCUCUUCGGGGAGUGUUAUAGCCUGCUGUGCAAUGCCGCCAGCUCCGACUGAGGUCCGCGGUUCUGCCUAGGAUGCUGGCUUAAUGGUUGUAAGCGACCCGUCUUGAAACACGGACCAAGGAGUCUAACAUCUAUGCGAGUCUUUGGGUGUCAAACCCAUGGGCGGAAUGAAAGUGAACGGAGGUGGGAGUCCUCGGAUGCACCAUCGACCGAUCCUGAUGUUCUCGGAUGGAUUUGAGUAUGAGCAUAGCUGUUGGGACCCGAAAGAUGGUGAACUAUGCCUGAAUAGGGUGAAGCCAGAGGAAACUCUGGUGGAGGCUCGCAGCGGUUCUGACGUGCAAAUCGAUCGUCAAAUUUGGGUAAUAGGGCGAAAGACUAAUCGAAACCAUCU
rnacentral:rRNA from 1 species